rnacentral:misc_RNA from 1 species
AGGGGGAACGAUCGCCCUACGCUAAUGGUGUAGCUCCGCCUUCUAAUGUUCCUAUAAUAUACACGACGCGUUAGAGAACUCUAGUCUUUAUGAUCAUUAGAAUACGUGCUGUGGGACGAGCUUACAACUCCCUUCUAAACCUAGAUUAAACAUCUCACAACUUUCUAUUUACUAAGCUUUAAACUUCUAUAGAAUUUAAUUUUGUUCAUUUAAUAAUCAAAAUGAGCAAUACUAUCAUAUUCAUUAAACAGUUGAAACCGUAUUUUUAUUUUUUUAAAAAUUAAAUUUAAAAAAAAAUUCUUGAAUAUCAUUACUAUUUCUUCAGUUUCCCUUUUCUCCUUUAUAUUAGACUAGAGUACAUUACAACACAAUUAAUUGAUCACUGCUCCUAUUUUCUUUUUCUUUCUUUUCACUUUAAUUUCUUUCACUUCU